ensembl:snRNA U6 U6 spliceosomal RNA
CUGCUCGCUUGGGCAGCACAUAAACUAAAAUAGUGACACUACAGAGAAGGGUAGCAUAGCCCCUGAGCAAAGACACACAAAACAUGGUUCCCGAUUUCA